UGGGGAAUAUUGGGCAAUGGGGGAAACCCUGACCCAGCGACGCCGCGUGGGUGAUGAAGGCCUUCGGGUCGUAAAGCCUUGUCAAGAGGAACGAAUGUCUUUAGGGUAAAUAGCCCUAAGGAGUGACGGUACCUCUGAAGGAAGCACCGGCCAACUCCGUGCCAGCAGCCGCGGUAAGACGGAGGGUGCAAGCGUUGCUCGGAAUCAUUGGGCGUAAAGGGUGCGUAGGCGGCUUCUUAAGUCUGGCGUGAAAGCCCAGGGCUCAGCCUUGGAAGUGCGCUAGAAACUGAGGAGCUUGAGUGCCGGAGGGGAGAGUGGAAUUCCUGGUGUAGCGGUGAAAUGCGUAGAUAUCAGGAGGAAUACCGGUGGCGAAAGCGACUCUCUGGACGGUAACUGACGCUGAGGCACGAAAGCGUGGGUAGCAAACAGG
rnacentral:rRNA from 1 species